CUUUACAGCUAGGCAUUCUCUUGCAAUGAUGAAAUAUCUUCUUUCUUCUCUGCUCACUCUUCUACUGAUAGAGCACACACCUCUCAACUGUCCCUUAUUUGCCAGAAAAUACCGCAUUUUGUCUUAAAAUAACAGGGUGACAUUAAAUGCCAAGUAGCCCCUUUAAAUCAUGGUUUACACACUCCUUGCUGAGUCACUGACAUCAUGUAAUCGGCUCAUGCCUGCAACCCCAGUGUUGAAUGUGAUAAUAUUAGAGCUGCAACCAACUCUCUGUGAUUUCAAGGCAGCUGGCUGAGUGACAAGCUGCUAAACCAAAUGUCUGGCUCCUUUAAGGUGAUUAAUUGGUUAAUACGCAAGCGCCAGAAUGAAAUAUCACAGUUGAGAUAUCAGAAUAUAAAUACAACAGGAUAUUGGCUUGUAACACUAUCUGAUGAAGUCUUAUGAAAAGAACAAAAACACUGUGAAUCAGUCAAUGUGUUUAUGGUGUUUUAUUGAAUAAAGUUUUUCUGUUUUA